rnacentral:rRNA from 1 species
CCCAGACUCCUACGGGAGGCAGCAGUGGGGAAUUUUGCGCAAUGGGGGCAAUCCUGACGCAGCGACGCCGCGUGGGUGAUGAAGGCCUUCGGGUUGUAAAGCCCUGUUGGGGGGGAAGAUAAUGACGGUACCCCCUGAGGAAGCCCCGGCUAACUACGUGCCAGCAGCCGCGGUAAGACGUAGGGGGCGAGCGUUGUCCGGAAUUACUGGGCGUAAAGGGCGUGUAGGCGGCCUUUCAAGUCGGCUGUGAAAUACCCCGGCUCAACCGGGGGGGUGCAGUCGAAACUGGGGGGCUUGAGUGCAGGAGAGGGGGGUGGAAUUCCCGGUGGAGCGGUGAUAUGCGUAGAUAUCGGGAGGAACACCGGUGGCGAAGGCGACCUUCUGGCCUGUUACUGACGCUGAGGCGCGAAAGCCGGGGGAGCAAACAGGAUUAGAUACCCUGGUAGUC